AUUGAACGCUGGCGGCAUGCUUUACACAUGCAAGUCGAACGGCAGCGCGGGCUUCGGCCUGGCGGCGAAUGGCGAACGGGUGAGUAAUACAUCGGAACGUGCCCAGUCGUGGGGGAUAGCUCGGCGAAAGCCGGAUUAAUACCGCAUACGACCUGAGGUUGAAAGCGGGGGAUCUUCGGACCUCGCGCUAUUGGAGCGGCCGAUGGCAGAUUAGCUAGUUGGUGGGGUAAAGGCCUACCAAGGCGACGAUCUGUAGCUGGUCUGAGAGGACGACCAGCCACACUGGGACUGAGACACGGCCCAGACUCCUACGGGAGGCAGCAGUGGGGAAUUUUGGACAAUGGGCGAAAGCCUGAUCCAGCAAUGCCGCGUGUGUGAUGAAGGCCUUCGGGUUGUAAAGCACUUUUGGCGGGAACGAAAAGGACUGUGCCAAUACCACGGUUCGAUGACGGUACCCGCAGAAUAAGCACCGGCUAACUACGUG
rnacentral:rRNA from 1 species